UGAAUUCUUGUCCAGUUCAUAGUCAGUGGGAAACAGUUGGCAGGUUCAGCUCCACUCUGACUUCUUCUGGGAGCCUCUUCUGAUGUUCAGCCAUGUUGCCAUCCGAUAUAUUAUGAUUCCCCCUCUCCCUUAAUCCUUCCCUCUCAGAAGACGGCUGAUGCCCAGAGAGGCCUGGCUCCCUGCAGCCUUACUGAUGCUGCUGUGGAAGGGAUGGACCAGCCCAUCAUGAGUGGCGGGAGAUCACUAAGAGCAUCAUCUCAGCAGGCUGGUCCUCACCAUUCCUGGAAACAGUCUCCACUUUACUGAGGAUGAUUCGACCCCAUAGCGCAGUUCACGAGGCCCCAAGGACUCCGCCAGCCACAUCUGCUGGCGUCCAGAGCUUCCAAUUGUUGGCUUUUCUCUGCACCACAGUGAAGCAGCUCGUAUCAGGCACCUCACAGCCACUCGCACUGAGUUCUUCACAUCCUCACGGUCACCAGGCUCAGCUGUGAUGCCAUGGCACGUGUGUGGAGCUCAGAUGACAACACUGUGGAGUGGAUUCCUCUUUCCAACUUUACGUGGAUUCCAGGUUUUAUCAGCGGCCAGAACCUACUUGGCUUACGAGUUACAGCCCCCAGGGAAGGAGCUGGAGGAAUGACACUGACCACAGUGAUCUGGACCCUGGUAUAUCCACUAGCAACUAAGAAAAUGCCCUAGGGACACUGACAGACAGGCCAACCCUGAUGAAGGUAACUCUUUAACUGAGGGCUCCUCUUCCACAUAACUCUAGUUUGUGGCAAGUUGACAAA
rnacentral:sRNA from 1 species